UACGUAGGGGGCUAGCGUUGUCCGGAAUCAUUGGGCGUAAAGAGCGUGUAGGCGGCCAGGUAGGUCCGUUGUGAAAACUCGAGGCUCAACCUCGAGCUGUCGAUGGAAACCAUCUGGCUAGAGUCCGGAAGAGGAGAGUGGAAUUCCCGGUGUAGCGGUGAAAUGCGCAGAUAUCGGGAAGAACACCCGUGGCGAAGGCGGCUCUCUGGGACGGUACUGACGCUGAGACGCGAAAGCGUGGGGAGCGAACAGG
rnacentral:rRNA from 1 species